UACGGAGGGUGCAAGCGUUAUCCGGAUUUACUGGGUUUAAAGGGUGUGUAGGCGGGCUAUUAAGUCAGUGGUGAAAUCUCCGGGCUCAACCCGGAAACUGCCAUUGAUACUAUUAGUCUUGAAUUCUGUUGAGGUGGGCGGAAUAAGUCAUGUAGCGGUGAAAUGCAUAGAUAUGACUUAGAACACCAAUUGCGAAGGCAGCUCGCUAAACAGACAUUGACGCUGAGGCACGAAAGCGUGGGGAUCAAACAGG
rnacentral:rRNA from 1 species